GUCCAGGGAUUGGAAACCGUACCUACAGUAUUCCGCUUACCAGACAGAUACCAUGUCCACUAGGCUACCCUGGA